rnacentral:misc_RNA from 1 species
UGAUAGGAAGGCAAAGUUUUGGAUAAAUAUUGAUUGCAUUAUAUUUAGCAUUGUAAUGCUGUUUAUUUGAUAGAAGAGUACAUUUUCAUUCUGACUAAAGGCACAUUCUAUUUGUUUCUUUUCCUUUACCAUUUUUUGAUCCUUCACUAUAAGUUUUGCCCUCUCAAGAUACCUGCUCACAUUGAGAAUCUGCUAAUACAUUGGCAACAAAUGGUCUUCUAUAUAAGCUUUACCUUCUUCUUACAUCAUAAUCUUGUUAGAACUGA